rnacentral:lncRNA from 1 species
GUUAAACCGACAUGAAACAAGUAUAUAUUCCCUCAAUUUCUACCGAAACCAAUUCUCCAGUCUGCCAAAUCACAUACCGACAUACGCCACCCAUUAUCAUUUACCAACAAUCAGUCAUCCCCAACAAUCUUUCACAAGCAAUUCGAUUGACAAGCAGGUAGUAUUUCUUAAAGCAUAUACCAAGCAAUAACACCAACUUUCUUUAGCAUCUAGAGUAAUUUUUACAAGAAAUUCCAGUUUUACAAGGAGUUAAUAACUGAGUAUAUACAAAAGAAGAAUAGCUGGAAUAGAUGAAAUUCGAACAGCCACAGUAAAACCAAGGCUGCCUCGUCGGACCGGUGACGCCUGCCGCCGGCGAUGUUCAUCGAAGACCAUCGAUUUCUGAAAUCAAGAGUUUUAAGUCAGAAAAACAAAUAGAAUAGAAAGAGAAAAAAAAGGGGGAUAGAACAGGGGGUGGGGGACGGCAGCAGCCGCGAGCCACCGCGGCGGAGGCGCGACUGGCGGCUGCGACCGCCGGUGCUGCCCUCGCCAUGCCAGUCCGCGGUGACUGCUAACAAAGAGAGAGGGAGUUUGAACGAGAGAGAGAGACUGUGAUACAGACAGAGAGGGCAGAAAGAGAGAUCGAGAGGCAGAGAUAGAAAAAGAGAGAAAUAGGGGGCUUACCUGAGUUAGAGGGGCGGCAGCGCGACAGAGACGACGGCGGUGGAGGCAGGCCUCGCCGGAGAGACGAAUUCCAGAGGGGAAGAAGGGAGGUAGAAACCCUAAGAAUUAGAUUUUAUGAUUUGGACAUUUUAGAAAUUGGGAAUAAAAUAGGGAAGAAAGAAAAGGAGGGGGAAGGAGAGGGCCGGCCUCGCCGCGCCGGAGGCGGGGAGGACCGGCGACAUCUGCCGGAGGAGAGAGCGAGAGAGAGAGACGGUAGAGAGAAAAGACAGAGAAUGGCAGAUUUAAGAGGAGAGGGAGCGUGAGGACUGGGGAGGUGCUUAUAUGUACUGCUAGAGGGAAAGAGAAUUUAAGCUUUGGUUUUAUUAGUUAUACUUACUCUAAUGGGUUUUGAUAAUUUGGGCCCAUUUCUUAUUAUACGUAUUUGGGUUGAUUAAUGGAGUGGUGGCUUUGGUUAGCCUUAAUUUAUUAUUGG